rnacentral:misc_RNA from 1 species
GUUGCAUCCAUCAUCUACACUAGAUCAAACCCUUCGUAUGCCCAUAAUGGACUAAUAACAUUUUUACACUAUAGAUGACUGCAUAAUGAGCUACUUCUAAGGAAGAAGUCUGUGAAGAAAAAAAUAGCCAUUUAAGUUUUUCUGGGCACGUAAACUAAUGAAACCAAAGAGUGUCUCCUUCCAACUAUGUCUUCUUGAUGAGGUACCCAACCAAAAGACCUAUAACACCAAUCAGCACGACAAACAACAUUGAGACGCCACCAGCAUUGCUUUUGUUGAUUUCUUUUCUUACCAGCUCCAAUUCCUGACGUAAUUUCUGAUUUUGUUGAAGAGCAGAAGCUUUUUCAUCAGUCAACCUUGAAAUCAAAGACCAUGCCUCUGAAGGGGAUGAUUUUGCUUUGGACUCCUCCAACGAUCGUGACACUGCUUCCGGAAGUGAAGUGCUUUUACUAUCAUCUUCAGUCAACGAAGUCCUGGGAGAACCACCUUCUUCAGACCCUUCAGGCACGGGAGACGGAGGGUUUGCGGGAACAUAAACAACCCUCAGUUUAAAUUCAUCAAUAACUUUUCCAUCCUCCCUAUUGAAAAUCUCUGGAGUGACAUCUUUAUUAGUUGUACCAGUGGGUGCUAUAGCACUCUGAAUUAGAAACUUAUCCUUACACUGCAUAUCAGGAGGUGCCUCUUUCUGCCCUUGCAUUGUAACUGUGACGUUGCAUGAAGAUCCAGGCAAAACAACACCAGCAUUAGGCCUAACACAGUACUUCUUGGGGUUGG